rnacentral:rRNA from 1 species
UACAGGGGUCUCGAGCGUUAAUCGGAAUCACUGGGCUUAAAGGGUGCGUAGGCGGAUCCGUAAGCGCUUUGUGAAAUCCCCCGGCUCAACCGGGGAACUGCAGGGCGAACUGCGGAUCUUGAGGAAACUAGAGGCCGGUAGAACGAUUGGUGGAGCGGUGGAAUGCGUAGAUAUCAAUCGGAAUGCCAAAAGUGAAGACAGCCGGCUGGGGUUUUCCUGACGCUGAGGCACGAAAGCGUGGGGAGCAAACCGG